GAAUUUUGCACAAUGAGCGAAAGCUUGAUGCAGCGACGCCGCGUGCGGGAUGAAUGCCUUCGGGUUGUAAACCGCUUUCAGGAGGGACGAAGCGACAGUGACGGUACCUUCAGAAGAAGCCCCGGCCAACUACGUGCCAGCAGCCGCGGUAGUACGUAGGGGGCGAACGUUGUCCGGAUUUAUUGGGCGUAAAGAGCUCGUAGCCGGCUCAACAAGUCGGCCGUGAAAACCCGGGGCUCAACCCCGGGACGCCGGUCGAAACUGUUGUGGCUAGGGUACGGUAGAGGAGAGUGGAAUUCCCGGUGUAGCGGUGAAAUGCGCAGAUAUCGGGAGGAACACCAGUAGCGAAGGCGGCUCUCUGGGCCGAUACCGACGCUGAGGAGCGAAAGCUAGGGGAGCAAACAGG
rnacentral:rRNA from 1 species